AAGGCUGUGGCAUAGUGGGUUAACGCUCUGGCCUGAAACGCCAGCAUUCCAUAUGGGUGCUGGUUCAAGACCUGGCUGCUCUA
rnacentral:tRNA from 1 species